AUCUGCAAUGCGUCAAGCUGUUGAGAAGUCAAGCAAUGGCAUUCUGUCGGAUAUAUUGAAAUGUCUUGGGGACAACAGGAAGCACAUGAGAGUAUGUGUACUGAAUACUCUUGACUCUUAGCUUUGCUGCUGUUCAUCUUGAUAAUAUGGUUCCUUAUGUUGCAAUUGCUUUGGUGGAUUCUAAACUUGGUGCAGAAGGGCGUAAAGAUCUUUUUGAUUGGUUAUCUAGGCAACUUUCUGGGUUAUGUAGUUUUGCUGAAGCUGCUCAACUGCUGAAGCCAGCCUCUUCUGCAAUGGGAGAUAAAUCCUCUGAUGUUUGCAAGGCGACAUAGACUUGUUUUAAUGCCGGUUUUUCGUUCCUUGUUUCCUCAACAUUCAUGUGAUACCAAGUUUAAUUAAAUUGCUUGUUUAUUUAGACUGAAAAGAUUGUUAUGACAUUCAUAGACCAGCACUGACAGUUGUUCUUGAGAAGAUAAAACCAUAUGGAGCUUUUCAAUGUGCAUAUAUUGUAGAUAAAGCAAGCUGCAUAAGGAACACAAGAAGUCCCAGGACUUGUUGAAGCUCAUGUCCAUGGAACAGAAGAUGUGCGGGAAUCGCUCAAGACUGGAAAUAGAGUUUGGCUCCACCUUUGCCAAUGAGCUUAGCAGCUGUUCAUGUUGGGUAAUGAAAACCCGUAAAUUUGUUAUAAUAAAAGGCAGAAAAGGCCAAACACGACGAGAAGGAAACAAAGAAGAUACAUGAUAGCCUGCAAAAUUUGCAACUCAGACUUGCUGAGAGAGAAUACCAUUGUAAAAUCUUUCAAGAAAAGGUACGGUAUCUGGAGAAUCAAGUAGCAGAAGAAAAAAAACUAGACUAAAGCAAGAAAAACAAGACCACCACCUGUAAAAUCAACAACACAGGAAGUUCUACGAUGGAUCAGAAACAUAGUUCAGGAGUUUGGAAUUCCAAACAUCACUUUCACCACUACUAAAGUUGAAGAUCUGUUCCUCUUCAGUAGUGUUUUCUGCCUAGUGUAGGUUAAAUGCUCCCUAACCUUAGUUGCACCGGCAAAAUUUCCCAUAUCCUCAGGUCAACGUAUCAUCAUUGAAAACCAAUGCAUCUUCAGUUCAGCUAGUUGGGAUGGGUAUUUACUUGCACUAUCCUUGGUUAUCACAUCAAUAGUUAAAUGGAACAAAAACAAUGGGCAGCUAGUACUUUCAAAGAAGGUCAUUGUUCUCUGCAAUGGUGUGGAUGGAAUAUAUUUUCCAAGCCUUGACUUGAUGUGCUAUGUGUAGAUGGGUUGAAGAUUGGGACUACAACAAAAUUAUAAUCUGUGUCAGACCACAUUGGGUCACUCAUUCCUGGAAUUUAAAAAGCAUUAAAUGACAAAUCAUCUACCUCAAUUUUGAAGCCCUGAUAUUCUUGUUCGUUAUGAUCGUACUCUUCUUGUUGCUGAUCCUAGACGCUGUAAGCCUGAAGUUUGGUGGUCGUGGUACUCGUGCUGGGUUCCAGAAAUCUUACCGUUAAAUUGUUUUUGGUAUUAUUCAGAUGUUAUUGCGUUUAUGUUUUUCAAUACUCUUUGAAAUCUCUAUGCACUGUUUUAAUUGAGGUUUGGUGGUUUUGAAAAAUAAAAUAAAAAUGAAAUGAUGAAAUGGCUGAGCAGAGAGAGUUUUUCAAUACUCUCUUUCUUCAUUCUGAUUCAUUCAGCCGCAUAGAUUUCGAGUUUCUUGAUGAUUUAGCAAUUGAGAGACAGUUGCGGAUACCGUCACAGUUAAUUGAAGUGCGACUUCCGCUGAUCCACUCUCACCCUAGGGGUACGAUUCUAUCUCUCUUUCUCUGAUACAUUCCAUUCUCCGACGUAUAAUUUAAAACAAAUUAAUUGAUAAAUCUUCGCUUUAGGUUUAUGAUUAUGAUGACGCAUUGCUUAUAAAUCUCCAAUCAAGGUCUUUUGUAUGAAUGCUUAUUUUCAAUUCAAUUGGUUUGUUUAUUUGUCUGUUUGUUGCUUCUCAUAUUCCCUAACUAACUAACAACAUUCCAAAUUACUCAUACAACAACAGCGCCGCUGCAAAAAUGGCCAUUUCUGAUUUGCUUAAUGAGUUGACCAAACCCACUUUUAUGACCGAUCCUGAUCUUGAACUCAAAUUGAAAAUUAUCAACAUACAACAACUUGACGAUGCUGCUGGUGAUGUGUCCGGACUUGCUGUCAAAUGCCUUGCUCCGUUAGUGAGGAAGAUGAAUGAGCCAAUGGUUGUCGAAAUGAGCAGUCAACUGUGUGACAAAAUACUAAACGGGAAGGAUCAACAUUGGGUCAACAUUGGGACACUGCUGCUAGCAUUGCUUUGAAGACUGUUGUUGCUGAUGUUUCUACCCAAUCCCUAGCACAUUCUAUUCUUUCCGUUCUCUCACCACAAUUGAUAAAAGGAUUUACCGGCAAAGUAAGUCCUUCAAACUUACCAACCCAUCUGUGCUCAUUCCGCCUUUACCAACUUCCAUUCUCUCAUCUAUAUUUCUCUCUAAUGUAUGCAUUUAGAUUAUUCAGUUUGUACCUUUUGGUCUCUCACCUACUAACUUCUUUCCUUCCUUUUUUUAUUAUUCUAUUGGGGACAAAAUCUGACUUUGUUGUAUGAUCGAGCCCUAAACUAUACCCCAAUCGUGUCAGAUAGUUGUAUUUCACUUUUUUCUUUGUCCUGCGAGCAGUAACCAAAGCCGCAGAUUAUCUCGAGCAGGCUGAGUACAACAAGUACAAUCAGGCAUGCAGCCGGUUGUGACUAAUGCAACUGCUGCUAAUAUGCCUUUGUGCCAACAAAUGGCUUCUUCACAAUCAAAAUAUAUAAGGGUCUGGGAGGUAUGUCCACUUCUUUCUUAAACCUAAAGAUUAAAGUCUAUCUUUCUGAUUUUUCAACAGUGUCUAGAAGUUUCUCAAGAAUUUCAGUAUAUGUCCACUUGUCUCUCUCUCUUUUUUUUUUUUUUUUAAUGAUUCAAGACUCUAAUUCUUUUUUAUGAUUCAAAAAUUGGUGGGUUGGCCAUACCAUAGGUGAUUUUUAGAAAACAUUCGUUAACUUUUUUUUUGUUACAAAAAAACAUUUGUUAAUUUAAUUAAAAAAACUGUAUAUUGGUAAAAACAUGUGACUAUUUAUUUAAUUAUUUUAGUACUCUACAAUUUUCUGAAUUCUUGGUCUUUAAUUAAUAAAAUAUUUAAAUUAGUUUCCGACAUUUUUAAAUCAAUGAUAAAUUAGUUUUUUUUUUGUCAAAUAGCCCAGUGACUAGAAAUUUCACCCUUAAGGUGGAUAAGUAGAAUGAUCGGGGUUCGAAACCCCGAUCCCCUGCAUAUAUAAUGCAAUGUCCUACCAACUGAGUUAUAUGUUCACGGGACAAAUUAGUCUUUUUAUUAGAAUAAAUUAUGAAUUAAUUUGUUCCUUAAAAAUGUCAGAGACAAUUUAUUCUAGCAUAAAAAUGUCAGAGAUUAAUUUAAAUCUUUUAUUCGUUAAGGAUUGAAUCUAUGAUAAAAAAGUUGUGACAGAACAAAAUAAGUCUUCACUAUAACUUUUUAAUAACUACAAGUAAAAAAAAAAGAUAAAAAUAUUUUUUUUAUGAUUGUAAACAAUCGGAAAAUAGAAAAAUCUCUAGAUUUUUUUGGAAAAAAUCAUUUUUUUUAAAGCUUAAACAACAGGCCCUUAAUCACCUACAUUUUUUACAGAUUAAACACUUCACUCUCUCUCUCUUUCUCUCUCAAACCCAAACUCGCUUUCACCACAACCAUUCUUCCCAAGUGAUGGACCUCACUCUUCUAUUCACACGACGUUCUCCGCUUUGAUAUAACAACUUCUUGAAUCAAGACGCAACUUCUUUCGAUAAAUUCUGUGGUUUUGUCGAUAAUCUCAUGCAAUGAGGUUUUUUGUUCUCUCUCUAUUGAAACUUUUUUCUUCGCAAUGAUUUUUCCAUAUUUUGUAUUGUUCUCUUUUUAAUUUGUCGUUACUUAUAUUAUGAUGAUUUAAGGUUUUGAAUUUCUGUCUUCUUCUCCCCUUUUCUGUUUUUCUUUGAAUCAGAUUUAGGGUUUGUGUUCUUUAUCUUUUGUUAAAAUGUUUGGUGCACCGGGAAUCUUUGGACCACAACGCAAACCCAACAAAACAAAACCCUUUUCUUUAAUCUUCUAAAAAUUGAAUCUUUUCAUCUACGCAAUUCUUGAAUCGUUUUUUUUUUUUGUUCUGGGUUUUUCUUAAAUUCUAAAAAGAUCUGAUUUUUAUUCUUGAUUUGUUUGAAACGCGUUGUUUCAUGAUCUGGUUCUGAUUGAAAUUGUUGUUUGGUUUUGAUAAUGAGGAUAAGAGAGUGGGAAAAUCCUUGUGGUGUAUGUGAGCACUAUCACAAACAUGAAUAAGGUGAAGUGUGUUCGAUUUGUGGUCAUAUGGUUCCGGUUGGAUCGGAGAAAACUUCUGUACAAGUUAGGCUUUUCCUUCUUUGAUCUUACCGGAGUUUCUUUACUUGGGAAGUUAUGAUAACGCUGCACGUUCAAAACUCAAGGGAUUUCACGUAUCCUCCAGUCUUGUCAAAAUCUCUAAAAAACUCAUUUACCUAUCACUGCCUCCCAGAUGACAAAACUUUCCAAUUUGAUGAAGGAUAAGGAGUGUGUUCGAUUUGUGGUCAUAUGGUUCCGGUUGGAUCGGAGAAAACUUCUGUACAAGUUAGGCUUUUCCUUCUUUGAUCUUACCGGAGUUUCUUUACUUGGGAAGUUAUGAUAACGCUGCACGUUCAAAACUCAAGGGAUUUCACGUAUCCUCCAGUCUUGUCAAAAUCUCUAAAAAACUCAUUUACCUAUCACUGCCUCCCAGAUGACAAAACUUUCCAAUUUGAUGAAGGAUAAGGAGCGUGUUCUGGUUCAUUGCAUGUCAGGAAAGAGUAGGUCCCCAGCCGUUGUGAGCGGCUAAGCGGCUACCUGAUGAAGUCUAGAGGAUGGAGACUUGCACAGAGUUAUCAGUGGUUAAAGGAAUGCAGAACUUCCGUUGAAUUAUCUGAAGGUGCCUACCAUUCGGAUCAGUCGGCAACUCGAUACUCUCUGCUGGUUUCUGACCUGCAGCAGGACCAUCUUCAAUUAGCUUUGGCUUCCCAAAAAUCAACAAACUACCUCAACUUCAUGCCUUCGGCUCCAAUACAUCUCCUUCAAUUUUUGCCCGAGCACCGUCCAACAUAGCUCCUUCGGACUUCACAUUCGGAGCUGGUCAGAAUGUUACCGGAAAUCCUUUCAAUACAAAUCCAUCUAAUCCUAAUGCUACCGAUAUUCAAAUUGAUUGAUCUUGAUUCUUACUAGUCGCAACAACAUCUGUGUGAUUAAGCAACUUGACGAUUUUGGCUUUGUGGUAGGUAAAGUUCAGUACAGGUACAUCUAGUUUGCCCUGUUUCAUGUCAAGGUGCAAAAAUAAUAAGUAAACUUGUCAAUUCUAUAGUUCUUUUUCUGAGAUCUUCAUUUCAAAUAAUUUCUCAUUAGUUAUUAAUCACUAUGGUUGUAGUAUUGAGUUAUAUAAAGUUUUAGUGGCAUUGUGUCUCUACUUUGGUAGAUUGGAACUGAACUUCAUCAAGUUUCUUUUUCUUGUUACAAGCUAUACUUUAUAAAAGUAUACAAAACUAGACCCCCCCAAAAAAAACAUAUUUAACAUCAUUUAUGUGUUUUUUUUUUGUUUCUAUCAGAUUUAGGGUUUUUGUUCCUCCAUGUCUUUGAUUAUGAUAUGAUGAUGAUUUAGGUUUUUGUUCCUCUAUGUCUUUGAUUAUGAUAUGAUGAUGAUUUAGGUUUUGCAAGUUUUAAUGUCUUGCAACAAUCCAAUUUUAGGCACUCGUUCUCUGUUAAAUUUUGAACUCAUUGGAUUUUGUUAUAUCAGCAGAACUGUUCUUUGUUUAGUUUAGUGUGCUGCAGGUUAUACGGGGCUCAUAUUAUGAUAAUUCCAAUUUCCAUUGCAACUGUUGUGAUCCCGAAUCUCUGUCAAUUUCUGAUGAGUUAAUUGAAGUUACUACUUGCAACCAUUCAUUGAUAUAAGGAAAUAGUCUUUCUGGGCUGAAAAGUUUUCUGGUCUAAAGAGGAAGUUAGUUGAUGUAGUAGGAAAAUGCAAAGGUCUACAGUCAGUGCUGUACAUAUUAAUUGUGUCAGAUUAGAGAAGCUACUCUUUUUGCCUUGUCCUCUCUUUCAGAACAACUGCUUGAGACACAGGAGUCAGGGUUUCGGACAAGUAACUUGAAGAACAUGAUUGAACAGAUUGUUGCCGAGGACUUUCUAAUAGAUUCUCUUCAAUACCCCUUUCUAUAUGCUUGUAUCUUUACUUCAGUUGCCAAAUUCUCCUCUGUGAUAAGCAAUGAAGUACUAGAGCACUCGCUUACCAAAAAAAAAAAAAAAAGUACUAGAGCACUCUCUUGAUGCUGCACUAAAGGCAAUUACAAUGAAUGUGCCUCCACCUGUAAAAAAGUAAGAAAUUGUCCUACCACAGUUAUUCGGUUUAUUUUCAUCCCUCACGGAUCUUCUUAAUCAUGCAUCAGAUGAAACCUUGCAUACCUUAAUAUGGUUUCCAGGCAUCAGAUGAAACCUUGCAUAUACUACUUGAAAUGUUGCAAGAAGCAGUAAAGGCAGGUUAGGAAUAUCUUUCUCUGGUGUGUGUGUGUUUCUGGUCUAGUCAAACUUCCACACAUAUAGAUAAAUUGGCUGAUAACAUAUAUGUUAAUGUUAAAUAUCUCUAUGGAAAUCGCUAAUUUACUCUUCCUAUCCCCACACAAUUGACUUUUUUUUUUUUUUCUUUCUUUUUUGUAAUACAAAUAACUGUUUGGUUCAAAUGCUCGCUGAGAAAUUUGGCCUUUUCAUUCAAUAACCAAGAGGUUGUUUUUUCUCAAAAUAAAUCUAUUGCUACAUCAGUAUAGGAUGAUGUUUUAAUGUCUUGUAUAUUUGCUUAUGGGCAAACUGGAACCGGUAAAACAUUUACCAUGGACACCAGAAGAGAGGGGAGUUAAUUACCGAACACUUGAAGAAUUGUUUAGGAUAUCCGAAGAGAGAAAGGGUGUAAUGAAGUAUGACUUACAUGUUAGUAUGUUGGAGGUUUACAAUGACCAGAUAAGAGAUCUUCUAGUGGAAAACUCUACCCAGCCUACUAAGAACCUGCAUUGCUGAGUGCUCUUGACACAGAAUAUGAGAAGAACCUAUUUGAGGGAGCAUCUACAAUGCCCAGAAAACUGUCAGGGCAUCAGAUUCGUCCUCAUCCGUGGUGGCUGGUGGGCUGGAUAGCUUGCAUCGUGAAGAUAUUAGUGGAAAGGUUACUCCGACUCGCUUGAAGAGUUUCGAAAGCCCUGAUUGGAAGGGGACGACUCAAUGAUAGCAACAAAAACCAAGUCAUGGCUACCUUGACAACAAUUGGUAAUGUUGCAUCUGCAAUGCGUCAAGCUGUUGAGAAGUCAAGCAAAGGCAUAUUGAAAUGUUUUGGGGACAACAGGAAGCACAUG